CCGCCCGUCACACCACGAGAGUUUGUAACACCCGAAGUCGGUGAGGUAACCUUUUUGGAGCCAGCCGCCUAAGGUGGGAUAGAUGAUUGGGGUGAAGUCGUAACAAGGUAGCCGUAUCGGAAGGUGCGGCUGGAUCACCUCCUUUCUAAGGAA
rnacentral:rRNA from 1 species